rnacentral:lncRNA from 1 species
AAGUAUAAAAAUACCUGAGUUACAAGAUAAGGCAAGAUACGUUUUAGUAGGAUGGUACAAAGUUCUCUGCAAUUUAUAGGAGGGAAAGAUUAUUAGGGGAAAAAAUGUUUGGUUGGCAAAAUAUACUGAAUGUGGACAAACUGUCUCUGGUUACUGCCAUGUAGAGAAAAGACCCACGACUAGGGAUAAUAAUCCUGCACCAAUAGGUAAGUACCAAAAGGAGAGAAAUUUGUUUGUCUUAUUCAUUGAUGUAGCCUGUGUGCCAUGAAGAUACUUGGUACAUAGGAAGGGCUCACUAAAUAUUUAAGCGAAUGAAUAUAAUUGGAAGAAAAGGAUCUGAGAUGUCUGACUCUUUUCUAGCUCCAUGAAGCUUCUUGCCUCAGACUUCAGAAGAAAUUUGGGCAAACAUGCCCAGUUAUUUGCAUGCAGGGAGUCUGUUUCUUGAAAGUUUUUUUUGUUUGUUUGGGUUUUUUUUGUUUUGUUUUGCUUUUUAGGGCUGCAGCCCAGGCACCAACUCAUCAUCAAGUAGAGAAAAGUUAUAUAUCAUGUGUUAGAAAGCUUAGGCCUGGAGUUCCUGUCGUGGCUCAGUGGUUAACAAACCCGACUAGUAUCCAUGAGGAUGCAGGUUUGAUCCCAGGCCUUGCUCAGUGGGUUAAGGAUCCAUCGUUGCCAUGAGCUGUGGUGUAGGUCGCAGACACAGUUUGGAUCCCAUUUUGCUGUGGCAUAGGCCAGCAUCUGUGGCUCAGAUUCGACCCCUAGCCUGGGAAUCUCCAUAUGCGGUGGGUGCAGUCCUAAAAAGACAAAAAAAGAAAAAAAAAGAAAAGAAAGGAAAGUUUAGGCCUAGAGCAGUUCUAAACAUCCUUGCCAAAGGACUGGGGAAGUGCUCCCAAUCCUGGAAUAUGUGUGUGCCUCCAUCACCAUCACAGGCCUUUUGUAAAUGAUCUCACUUUCCUGAUAGGCAGUUGGAACUCAUGAAGCCUCUUAGACAUUGGAAAAUACGUGUGCCUCCCCAAGCCUGUAUUCUGAGUCAUUGAUGAAAUGUUCAUCUGUGACAAAUCAUCUCUAUUACCCCACUUAUAUAUUUAGAUUUCUAAUUGUGAAUUAAUUCAUUCAGCAGACACUGCCUAAACACCUAUCACACAGGUACCAUCCCUGACUUCAAGGAGGCCAGGUAUGGGGAGUUAGACACAUAAAUGGAUAAUUAUGAUGUAUUAUAAGUGCUAUAAAAGAAAUAUGCCUAUGAUUUAAGACUGUAAAAAUGUUUAUUUACUUAUGAAUGUAGAAAUUCAUUUAUUAGAGUUAUAAUCACUGAAAAACCCAACUAUAAGGAAGCAUUUAUAGGACACAAAUAAUGGAAUAAAUACCUUGAGUUAAUUACUGUGUUGUUAUAUGAAUUAUAAUAUGUUUCCUUUUUGGAAUGUAUUUAGCAUCUACAGAUGUAGUUUUAGUUUUUAAUUAUGUUUCACUAGAAAGUCUGAUCUAAAUAUAUGAUCCAGUUUUAAGCUUUUAUAUCUGUACUAAGCUCUCAUGCUUUUGGAUUCUGUUACUGUCACAUGGGACUUCCAGGUCCAGGUGAUACCACUGCCUGUGAACCUGAUUCUUCCUCAGUAAGAUGAUUCCAUCUGUGCUGAUACAGGGACUCUUUAUUUUUAGGACAGUUAUUGCUAUGGUUACUGUGAACCACAGAGUUGGCCUUCAGUACUGUGUCCCUGAACAGUUAGUAUUUUCCACAGAAAUUCUGUAGCAACAGAAUAAAUGAAAUAAACUGUAUCAUACAUAUGGUGCAAAAAAGCUAUCAUCACAAAACAUUCACUUGAUUGUGUGAUUCAUUUGAAUGCAUAAUGCAAAGAUUUAAAAGAAUCUCUUUGCUCUUCUACAAUAAGGUAAAAAAAUGUCUGACCAAUGCAUUUAAAACAAAUGCAUUUAAUUCAGAGCCAUUUUUUUAUUAACCAAAAUAGGAAAUAAUCUGAAUGACCAUUAACAAUAGACUCAGUAUAUACAUUGUGAUACAUUUGACAAUAAAAUACUGUGUAUCUAUGAGAAAGAAACUAGCUAUUGGCCUAAUCAGGCAUCUUGCAAAUGUAACAUUGAAUAAAUGAGGGAACACAUCCAAAAAAACCAAAAAUAACCAAAAAAAAAUGCGUUUAGAAAGAUGUUUAAUUAAUUACCAAACGAGCAGGAGAAUGUAAGUUGAAUGUUGUUAUUAUUUCCAAAUCCAGGUUGGGAAUUGAGUAAUUAAAAUUAAAAGACAUGGGAGUCCCCAUUGUGGCUCAGCGGAAAAGAACCUUACUAGUAUCCAUGAGGAUGCAGGUUCAAUGCCUGGUCUUGUUCAGUGGGUUAAGGAUCCGGUGUUGCUGUGAGCUGUGGUGUAGGUGGAAAACGUGGCUUGGAUCUGAUGUUGCUGUGCCUGUGGCGUAGGCUGGCAGCUGUAGCUCCUAUUUGACCCGUAGCCUGGUAACCUCCAUAUGCCGUGGUUACAGCCCUAAAAAGACAAAAAAUAAUAAUAAAAUAAUAAUAAAAUUAAAGUAUAUAGAACAUUUGCAGGGGAUACUGAAUGCUUUACUCAUAAUGAUAUUUAAUUAAUGAUGUAUGAAUACUAUAAUUGGUAAAAAUAUAAAAGAAAAUUUUGCUUUUAAGUCAUAAUUUGCCUUGCAGAGCACUGUUUGGAACAUUAUUAAGAAUUAUUAUUUCAGUUUUCAAACACAAAAUAAAAUGUAUGACUUUUCCAAAUGUCACAGAACCUUCCGAUUUACAUCAUAACCACAUAUAAUAAUGUUCUUAUUUUGCAACGGAUUUCCAGAAACAUAAGUCUUUAGCAAUAACCACAAUCCUUUUUAGUUAGUUUCAUAAUUUGGGGCCACAUUUCAAAAGACUUACUUUAAAGUAAAACUCUUUGCCCAGAUCCUUUCAAAUAGAGUCAUUGGCAGGUAAUGCAAUUUUCACUAGGUGGUCUAGUUUCUGAGUUCCAAAGCUGAUUUUCAGCCCCAAAACAAAAAUAAAGACAAAAGGGGAAAAACCCUGUUUCCCUCUGCAAACUGGGUUAUGGAGGUAAGUCAGGAUUCACGUGGAGGAUUCCACUCUCAGUAGUACAACUGCUUCAUGUGAAUAACUUGAAACUCUAGAGAUCCUGAGAACUCAUGAGGAUUAUAUCAAAUUUUGAAACACAUCUUGCCAACUGAGUAAGAGGCCAUUAUGAAGCAACAUUUAAUUUUUGUUGCUAAAACUAGCUGGAAGCUCCUAUUGCAGCUUAAGAAGCUGACGGAUUUUCUGUGAGGAUGUGGUUUCCAUCCCUGGCCUCGCUCAGCGGGUUAAGGAUCUGGUGUCGCUGCAAGCUGCAGCAUAGGUCACAGAUGCAUUUGGAUCCAGUGUUGCUAUAGGCUGGCAGCUGCAGCUCCUAUUCAACCCCUAGCCCAGGAACUUCCAUAUGCCACAAGUGUGGCCAUAAAAAGCAAAAAAAAAAAAAAAAAAAG